rnacentral:rRNA from 1 species
ACGCACGCUGGCGGCGUGCUUAACCCAUGCAAGUCGAACGCUGAAGCUCAGCUUUUGUUGGGUGGAUGAGUGGCGAACGGGUGAGUAACACGUGAGUAACCUGCCCCCUUCUUUGGGAUAACGCCCGGAAACGGGUGCUAAUACUGGAUAUUCACUGGUCUUCGCAUGGGGGUUGGUGGAAAGGGUUUUUCUGGUGGGGGAUGGGCUCGCGGCCUAUCAGCUUGUUGGUGGGGUGAUGGCCUACCAAGGCUUUGACGGGUAGCCGGCCUGAGAGGGUGACCGGGCACAUUGGGACGGAGAUACGGCCCAGACUCCUACGGGAGGCAGCAGUGGGGAAUAUUGCACAAUGGGCGCAAGCCUGAUGCAGCGACGCCGCGUGAGGGAUGGAGGCCUUCGGGUUGUGAACCUCUUUCGCUCAUGGUCAAGCCGCAACAAUGGUUAUGGUGAGGGUAGUGGGUAAAGAAGCGCCGGCUAACUACGUG